rnacentral:ncRNA from 1 species
CCUUGGGAGAGUUAUACAAACUGAAGUAGCAUUAAAAGCAAAACAGAGCUCAAUGAAUAAGGAA